AACGAACGCUGGCGGCAUGCCUAACACAUGCAAGUCGAACGAUCACUUCGGUGAUAGUGGCGCACGGGUGCGUAACGCGUGGGAAUCUGCCCCUUGGUUCGGAAUAACUCAGAGAAAUUUGAGCUAAUACCGGAUGACGACGAAAGUCCAAGGAUUUAUCGCCGAGGGAUGAGCCCGCGUAGGAUUAGCUAGUUGGUGGGGUAAAGGCCUACCAAGGCGACGAUCCUUAGCUGGUCUGAGAGGAUGAUCAGCCACACUGGGACUGAGACAGGGCCCAGACUCCUACGGGAGGCAGCAGUGGGGAAUAUUGGACAAUGGGCGAAAGCCUGAUCCAGCAAUGCCGCGUGAGUGAUGAAGGGCUUAGGGUUGUAAAGCUCUUUUACCCGGGAUGAUAAUGACAGUACCGGGAGAAUAAGCUCCGGCUAACUCCGUGCCAGCCGCCGCGGUAA
rnacentral:rRNA from 1 species